rnacentral:rRNA from 1 species
GACGAACGCUGGCGGCGUGCCUAAUACAUGCAAGUAGAACGCACAGUUUAUACCGUAGCUUGCUACACCAUAAACUGUGAGUUGCGAACGGGUGAGUAACGCGUAGGUAACCUGCCUGGUAGCGGGGGAUAACUAUUGGAAACGAUAGCUAAUACCGCAUAAUAUUGAUUAUUGCAUGAUAAUUGAUUGAAAGAUGCUAUUGCAUCACUACCAGAUGGACCUGCGUUGUAUUAGCUAGUAGGUGAGGUAACGGCUCACCUAGGCGACGAUACAUAGCCGACCUGAGGGGGGGGACGGCCACACUGGGACUGAGAACCGGCCCAGACUCCUACGGGAGGCAGCAGUAGGGAAUCUUCGGAAAUGGACGAAAGUCUGACCGAGCAACCCCGCGGGAGUGAAGAAGGUUUUCGGAUCGUAAAGCUCUGUUGUAAGAGAAGAACGGGUGUGAGGGGGGAAAGUUCAACCUUGGACGGUAUUUUACCAGAAAGGGACGGCUAACUAGGG